GGUCAGGUAGCUCAGCUGGAUAGAGCAACAGCCUUCUAAGCUGUGGGUCGAGGGUUCGAAUCCCUCCUCGAUCACGA
rnacentral:tRNA from 1 species